rnacentral:rRNA from 1 species
UACGUAGGUCCCGAGCGUUGUCCGGAUUUAUUGGGCGUAAAGCGAGCGCAGGUGGUUUAUUAAGUCUGGUGUAAAAGGCAGUGGCUCAACCAUUGUAUGCAUUGGAAACUGGUAGACUUGAGUGCAGGAGAGGAGAGUGGAAUUCCAUGUGUAGCGGUGAAAUGCGUAGAUAUAUGGAAGAACACCAGUGGCGAAGGCGGCUCUCUGGUCUGCAACUGACGCUGAGGCUCGAAAGCAUGGGUAGCGAACAGG